rnacentral:lncRNA from 1 species
GCAAAGAAGGGCUAUCAGAAGACCAUCCUGGAAAUCAACACGCCCAAAGUAGAGCAAGUACCUAUAGUCGACAUCAUGUUCAAUGACUUCGGAGAAGCGUCACAGAAAUUUGGAUUCGAGGUGGGACCAGCUUGCUUCAUGGGCUAAGAGCCACCUGAAAACUAGUCUCCAAAUGAGCAACCUCGUAACCUCAUUGCGCCAUUUAAUUAAUUAAAAGAGAAAAAAAAAAAGAAAAAAAGGAAUUCCUUGUCACAUGCACGUUCUGAAACUGGACAGCGAUGGGUUAUUUUUUUUUUUCUGUUUUGUUUUGUUCCUCGUUUUGCCCAAGUUCCUCUGUGCCACCAACCCACACUGACCCAACCAGAGGACCGUUCCCGCAACAGAUGCAGAAUCUCAUGACCGACCGCCGCACGCGUGGCCCGGAGACCUGUCCCCACGCUGCCACCACCGCUGCUGCUCCACAGCCACCCAGCAGACCCCACCGCCAUCAAAGACUUCUUCUUUGUCUUCUUCUUCUUCUUGCCAUGAAGCAAUACCGAGCGCUUGUCUAUACGUGAGUUUGUUUGUUUGUUUCUAAGGGAAAAAUGGAAAAAACUUGAAACUCCAGUGUUCAGCUUUGACGUUGAAGUCCCAGCAGUCCUGGCUCCAACCCAACCCCUGCCGAAGCUCAUCGGAGGAAUUUUGUUGAUUUUCACAAGAUUUGGAUCGGCUCUUGCAAGCAGAUGUCAUGGCCACUGCCAGAAUUUGUAAUAUCUCCGUUGAAUCGCGCAAUUCUACGUGUUACAAAAUGGAACCCCAUGAAUUUGAUAGCUAAAAAGUCACACUGGGCAUCUCUUUCCCAUGUAUUAAAGAAUAUUCAUGCAUUUUAUCCGGUGGGAACCUGUACCAGAUUGUACUCAGUCGCUGAAUGUUUGUGGUGCUAAUUUCUGGAUCUGGUGGCUGUCCUGACGCGAUGCUGAAGCCGGGUGGGUGCCUCCUCGCCCGGCGCUCCCGGGAUCUGCAAUUUUCCUGGUCUUCCCACAGUGGCUCUGCCAGGAUGGCUGCUUUUCUCUUUUUUUUUUUUUUUUUUCCUCCACGCAGCAUUUUCGGCUCACAACCUGCUGACACCAUCUUCUCCUUCCGUUUGUUUGUUUGUUUGUUUUUUUUCCUCCCUGGCCGUUUCCCUUGGUUUAGAUCUCUCGGCUGGAAAAUAGAUGUUGCAGGGUGCUUUUUUUUUUUUUUAUUAUUAUUAUUUGGCCUGGUGUAUUACAGCAACGCUUGA